rnacentral:rRNA from 1 species
AGCGAACGCUGGCGGCAGGCCUAACACAUGCAAGUCGAACGAACCUUUCGGGGUUAGUGGCGGACGGGUGAGUAACACGUGGGAACGUGCCUUUAGGUUCGGAAUAACUCAGGGAAACUUGUGCUAAUACCGAAUGUGCCCUUUGGGGGAAAGAUUUAUCGCCUUUAGAGCGGCCCGCGUCUGAUUAGCUAGUUGGUUGAGGUAAUGGCUCACCAAGGCGACGAUCAGUAGCUGGUCUGAGAGGAUGAUCAGCCACAUUGGGACUGAGACACGGCCCAAACUCCUACGGGAGGCAGCAGUGGGGAAUCUUGCGCAAUGGGCGAAAGCCUGACGCAGCCAUGCCGCGUGAAUGAUGAAGAUCUUAGGAUUGUAAAAUUCUUUCACCGGGGACGAUAAUGACGGUACCCGGAGAAGAAGCCCCGGCUAACUUCGUG